rnacentral:lncRNA from 1 species
GAUCGUGCGGGAGGAGUGGGGGUCGGUUAGGGUUCCAGGGGUGGGGAGGGCCAUAUAGGCCAGGGGCGACUGGGCCGGCCCGCUGGGCCGAAUGGCCCAGUGGAGGAGGGGGCCUUUUCAAACUUUGUUUUGUUUUGUUUUAAUUCUGUUGAGUCGUUUCUUUUUAUUUAUUUUUCCCUUUAUUGUUUUAUUUUUAGUCCCAUCUUAUCUACGUUUAAAAAAAUUAACAUAAAAGUUGUACGAAAAUCGGUAUUACUAAUUAUACCGCUGAUACUAGAGUUUAAACCCCUAAAUAAAAUAUUUUAACAUUUUAUAAUAACAAAAGGCAUUUAUUAAAUUGGUUAAGUUGUUGUUUCAUUCCCAUUUGAGCAUUUAAACAUUUUAUGAAAUUGUGGUUUCUCCACCAUAAUUACCUAUGCAUUAUUUAGCUCACUCCGAACAUUUUACUUUUAAUAUUUGAAAACUUUCAUUGUUUGCCUUGAUUUUGAAUUUGAAUUUUGAAUCGGUUUUUGAACUAACUCGAGAUUAACUACAGUGACAGAGGUGACGUGGCAUCAUUAACGGGGGAUUACUGUAGCCUAAUUAUCCGGGCGUCACAAUUCUCCUCCACUACAAGAAAUCUCGUCCCGAGAUUUAAGAGGUAGUGAAAGGGGGAAGGUUUGGUUACGAAUCUAGCGGGUCUUCUCAUCCUGGCUUGCUCUUCUCGAAGAGGCCGGUUCAAUACAUUGAUGUCUUCAUUUCCCUGCUUCAGGUCAUCAUGAUGAAGUCGGCGUCCUUUCUUCAGGAACUCCAUCGUACUUACGAAGGAAUAAAGGGUGGGCAUUCCGGGAGAACAGACCUCUGCAAGGUCGACUAUCUGGUCAAUAACAUCGAGGAAGGUGGCGGAAGUAACUCUCGAAUUGAAACUUACGAAAAUAUCGAGAGCAAAGUAAGGAGGUAUCAUGGGAAGUUUCGAGCGGGCAGGCAAUCGUUCGAUGCCUGAAAUAGGGCGUGAAAGGGGCUCAAAGCAAUCGGGAAUAAGUAUUGUGUCUUAUACCAGAAUAGAUCAAUAGGCAGGUGGCCCGUGAAUUACAUAUCAAGUCAAGCGCGAGGAAUAUCUUUGGCAAUAGGGUGUACAGGAGAGUCAGGUUUCGAUCCUGUGGAACUGUGGGUUAUGGGCCCAAUAUGUGGGUUAAAAGUAGGAAGGGCGAUAACGUCUUGCACGAUCAUGUAAGCAAGGCAUGUUAGAGGAUAGCCUAUCAGUUAUGUCGGCAACAACAUCGGUACCAAGGGUGAGGGACGAAGAGAACCAUUUUCCUGCUCAUUGAACGAGGCGGACCAAUAGGCAAAGUUCUCGUCCAUCGGUGGUUACCGGAAUGUCAUCAACAUUAGAAACAGGGUCUCACUGACAGAGUUGUACACUGAGGUGCUUACAUAAGUAGUGAAUUAUUACUGCUUAGAUUAUAUAGAUCACAAGAAAGGUCAAACAAACCAAUGGGAAGGAAAAUGUGAUCAUCAGGUUAAACAGAAUAAUGGAAAGGAAAAAUGUGUUUAAACACAUAUUUCAGGGGUAUAUCCUUCCCAAGGACAAGCAGAACAUGAUAUCUGUGACAAUAUAUAAGGUAGAAAACCCUUUAGGUAAGGGGAGAGAAACUUCAUUACAUUACCCAUACAGCAGUGUCCGGAUAAUUGAGCAAGAAACAUUUAGCAUUGGGCUUCAAAUGUUCAUGUUUAAAAUUGGAGUACCAUAGACAUGCUUCGAGAUAGCAUUGACAUGGUCUUCAAGCAAAGGUCGUACUUGGAUAUACAAAGGAUUCAUCAGGAACAACUUAUAGAAUAAGUCUUACAAUUUCCUCAUGGAAUAAUGGUUAACCUUGCUAAGAUGGAAACUAUAACAAUAGGUCCUCCGGCCAGGUGUGCUAGGCAUGUCAUCACCUUACCGGGUCAUAUAAAGACCAAUGUUGUGACUCUUGGAAAAUAUUCCAACCAUCAUAUCUGACCGAGAUUCAGAUCUGAUUGGUGUCAGGAUACCUCAGACUCAGGAUGCCUAAGAAGGAAGGGGUGCAACACAAUUUGACGAGGUGGUGUUGCAAGAUCCUCGAGGAAUGAACUAUGGAAGCAAGACCCGAAUCAAGAGUUCAUCAUUAAACCAAGGAGAGGACGAGGAGGUGGCUGAUGGACUCAGCGACAAUUCAUUCAGAUUAACAAAAGAUGGAUUUCCACAAUUAUGUGAACAAGGAGAUAACAUUUAUCAGAGCAAAUGAUAUAAUGAUGUAUGUUCGUGGAAAACAUCCACAGUUAAACAUUGGUUGACAGGUGCACCCGAAAUAUGGGCAUAGGUAGCAUGAUCAAUGUUAGAUUGGUGAUUUAAUAACCAACAGUCUAAGAAUGGACUAUCGAACAUUAACUUCAAAGCAAUAAGGUUGCUAGAAGGGCAGAAUCCAAACAGCAUCGUUCACUUGUUGGUACCCCGGUUGGAAUCAACACGAGGACCAAGAAAGAAUGGUGAUGGUGAGAAGUAUCACUAUACCAAGAAUUCUUAAGAGGUGGUGAAAUUCCCACGACAUUCUUGACAUAAAAGGUGGUAAUACCCCAAGGUAAAGAAGAACAAUGCUAGCAAGGAACUCAAGGUAUAACACAAAACACGAACAAGUUUGUGUUGAACGGAAGGCAAUAAAGCGGUCGAUCAUAAUACAAAUCAUCGAGGGCAAGGAUGGUAUUUCUCUUCAUGCAUUCAAUUGAUAUCCUGGAAGAGCUCAAAAUGUUGAUGAUGAUCACGACACAAUUGUCGAGAGAUUUCACGAAGAAGCAAUCGAACAGCGAUGACAUCAAGAAAAAGCAAUGGUGAAGCGUAGAGUCAUUGGACCACGGAUACGACACACACUCAGAAUCAAGCUUGAUGUUCAAGGCGAAAUGAUAAGACGAGGAAGAUCGAUUGUAAGAUUAGCUCACCGUCGAAAUUUGUGCUCCGAGAAGAAGGACCCGGUAGCACAGUUAAAAUUCAGCACGAUAAUGAUGUAGCCAAUCAGGCUAGGAAUGACGUGAUCGGGUACAAACUCAUAAGUAAAGAAGAUUACUAAGAGUUGUUUAAUCGCAGUGCGGACUCAAUUCUGUUAUCGGUGGUUUUGAGUGUUUAAAAACUCGAAGCCCGUGAAAAAAUGGAAUCAAUGAGAAUGUAGCACUUGAUGGAGAACUCAUAAGAAGUUAUGCAGUUCCGUGAUAAUCUCGAGAUACCAGGGGGGUAAUACUCGACGACAAACCAAAGUAGAGGUUGGACUGGGGUAUUGCUCUGCAGAAGACAAGUGCUCAACUUGUACGAGAAAUGGUAUUUAAAGGAGAACAUGGUCAGAACCACGAUUGCAAAAGGCCAGAUCCCAGAUAUAAGUUGAACUUAUACCAAGGAAUAAUUAAUUUAAGAGAAGCUUUAAUGAUAAGAGCUACAUCGUGUCCAUGGGCAUGAACGCAAAGUUCAAGGUCGACUCCCACUUCUUCAAUGCAUAACCUUUCAUUCACUUCUCGCGUUUGAUGAAGUUGCAGUGUUGAAAAUUUUAUCUGGCAAAAUACCAGAACAGUAUGACUCAUGAAAACUUUCGAGUUCACACAUAUUAUGGAAGGCAUAGGUUCAACCCAUCGGGGCAUCAUGGAAACAUAUACCACAAGCUUCAAUAGUAAAUAUCACCAGCUCGAAAGCAGAGCAUGGUUGGCCAAAUCAAGGAAUAGGAUUUACCAAAGGCAUUAUGUAUCAGGGAAAGAACUUCCAAGGUGAUUGAAUAUGAAGGACGUUGUCGGAUAAAAUCCAACAAGGUUCUGAUGGUCCAUAAAGGAUCUGAUGUGAGUAUCGGCACACAACCCGAGGAAGAAUCAAUGCAAAGACCUUGGAUUAUAGAAACAACUAAGUAACUUAGAGCUCAAUUGCAAAGGAUUAUGAUUUACAAAGCGAAGGAUCAGAAACAGACGCUCUGAUCAAGGAUGGAUAAGUUCAAUAGACAUAGGGGCACAAUCGACGACAAUUUGAUUGGCGAGAACCAGCUCAUGUUUCAAAUGACGUCUAAGCCGGAAGGAUGAAUUCUAGCAUCUGAUUGAGGAUUGCGAGCAUUCGCAACAAAUUGAAUGAGUGGACUCAAAAUGAUAAUGACAAGAGAUGCCAAUAAGAUUAUGAGACUUAAGAUUAAUCAUAAUACAAGUAAGCAAGAAUUUCAAGAGCAAAAAGGCUCCUGAGGAUUUUCGGAAGAUCGAAUGGUAUUUUGAACACUUUUGUGAAAUACUUGAAUCAACUGGGGAUGAGCUGAUACUCGGUAAGUGCGAGAAUUAUCCGUAGGGGUAUUCAGGUGACAAAGAACAACAAAGCAGUAAGCUCAAAGGAUUCUCGGAACAACAGAGAGAAUUUUGGGGUAUCUGGUAAUAACAAGAUCAACUGGGAAACAUUGUAUGAAUGGUGAGUAUAUGUGGUUAUCCAUAGGAGUUUAUCGAUGAAAGGGAAUUGCAAAAGCGAUGAACACAAGUUGUCGGGUUAUCAGCGAAGAGUAUCUUCAGGGUCUUCACGUGCAGCAGACGAUCAUCAGUAAUAAGGGGCUCUCCGGGUGAAAGUGAUAACGAGAUCCUAAUGUUAGAUUUAGCAAAAUUCACUUAACCCGAAUAGAAGAGAGAUCAGAGUCCCAGAGUAUAGACAAGGAGUAAAAGAUCCUAAUACCACCCAAUGGCAACGUGGGCCCGUAAGCCACACAACCAUGUUAGUAAAAGUUUUUCAAUGACUAGACUUGACUUCGGCCAAGGAGUUGGAAAGGGGGAUUCCUACAGGUAGUUGGCUCUAAUACCAACUUGUGACGCCCCCGAUUCAAUCGUACACUAAUCAUGCACGCAAACGUGUACGAUCAAGAUCAGGGACUCACGGGAAGAUAUCACAACACAACUCUAAAACAUAAAUAAGUCAUACAAGCAUCAUAAUACAAGCCAGGGGCCUCGAGGGCUCGAAUACAAGUGCUCGAUCAUAGACGAGUCAGCGGAAGCAACAAUAUCUGAGUACAGACAUAAGUUAAACAAGUUUUCCUUAAGAAGGGUAGCACAAACUGGGAUACAGAUCGAAAGAGGCGCAGGCCUCCUGCCUGGGAUCCUCCUAAACUACACCUGGUCGUCGUCAGUGGGCUGCACGUAGUAGUAGGCACCUCCGGUGUAGUAGGAGUCGUCGGCGGUGGUGGCGUCUGGCUCCUGGGCUCCAGCAUCUGGUUGCGACAACCAGGUAGAAAGGAAAGGGGGAAAAGAGGGAGAAAAGCAACCGUGAGUACUCAUCCAAAGUACUCGCAAGCAAGGAGCUACACUACAUAUGCAUGGGUAUAUGUGUAAAGGGCCAUAUCGGUGGACUGAAUUGCAGAAUGCCAGAAUAAGAGGAGGAUAGCUAAUCCUGUCGAAGACUACGCUUCAGGCCACCUCCAUCUUGCAGCAUGUAGGAGAGAGUAGAUGGUAAGUUCACCAAGUAGCAUCGUAUAGCAUAAUCCUACCAGGCGAUCCCCUCCUCGUCGCCCUGUUAGAGAGCGAUCACCGGGUUAUAUCUGGCACUUGGAAGGGUGUGUUUUAUUAAGUAUCCGGUUCUAGUUGUCAUAAGGUCAAGGUACAACUCCGGGUCGUCCUUUUACCGAGGGACACGGCUAUUCGAAUAGAUAAACUUCCCAGCAGGGGUGCACCACAUAACCCAACACGCUCGAUCCCAUUGGCCGGACACACUUUCCUGGGUCAUGCCCGGCCUCGGAAGAUCAACACGUCGCAGCCCCACCUAGGCACAACAGAGAGGUCAGCACGCCGGUCUAAAUCCUAUGGCGCAGGGGUCUGGGCCCAUCGCCCAUUGCACACCUGCACGUUGCGAACACGGCCGAAAGCAGACCUAGCCUAGCAGGCGUUCCAGUCCAAUCCAGCGCGCGCCACUCAGUCGCUGACGUCACGAAGGCUUCGGCUGAUACCACGACGUCUAGUGCCCAUAACUGUUCCCGCGUAGUUGGUUAGUGCGUAUAGGCCAAAUGGCCAGACUCAGAUCAAAUACCAAGAACUCGUUAAGCGUGUUAAGUAUCCGCGAACGCCGACUAGGGCCAGGCCCACCUCUCUCCUAGGUGGUCUCAACCUGCCCUGUCGCUCCGCCACAAAGUAACAGUCGGGGGCCGUCAGGAACCCAGGCCCACCUCUAUCGGGAUGGAGCCACCUGUCCUUUCAGCCCCCUCAUCAGAAUCACUUGCGGGUACUCAACGAGCUGACCCGACUUUGGUAAAAAAUGUGUCAUGUAUGUAAAGUAUAUAGUAUAUACCUGUGAUCACCUCCCGAAGUGAUCACGGCCCGAUAUUAUAGCAUGGCAGACGGACAAGAGUGUAGGGCCACUGAUGGAACACUAGCAUCCUAUACUAAGCAGUAGGAUAGCAGGUAAGGGUAACAUCUGUAGCAACAAUGACAGGCUAUGCAGCAGAAUAGGAUUAACCGAAAGCAGUAACAUGCUACACUCUUCUAAUGCAAAGUUUUAAAAUAUUUUCUGAAAUUAAUAUUAAAUCUAAAACGGAGCUAUUGCAACAGCAUGACUUCAUCAUGACGUCAGCGGAGUCAACAUUCAACUUUGACCGAGUUGACUGGUCAAAGGGGCAGUGGGGCCCAAUUGUCAUUGUCUAGUUUAAUUAAGCAUGUUCAAUUAGACUAAAUAUGUUCAUUAGGAUAAUUAAUCAAAGUUAAUUAAGUUAAUUAACUAAUUAUCUAAUUAAUUGACAAUUUUAAACAUCCCUUUUUUCAUUUUUAUUUUCGUUUUCAUUUUAACAGGGGCGGGCCCCACUCGGAAGUGGCCCAGGGGGCCAGCCGGGUUAACUGGCGCAAAGGGGCGGGCGAAUGGAGCCCCAGGGGCGUCGGGCCCGGGCGGCGCCGCGGGGCAGCAGCAGGUCGGCGGGGAGCGGCUGGGGUGAGCGGGCUCGUCGCCGACGAGGGCUCGCGAGGCGCGCGCGGGGUGCACGCGCAGCUUUGGUGCGACGGGACUGCAACGCAGCCCGUGUGGGCACGCGCGGCGGCAGCAGCAAAGGAGGGGGGCGGCGGGUAGAGCCAGCAGGCCAGGGGAGGCGCCCGGGACGCGGGGUUGCACGUCUCGGCGUGGCAAGGCACGCGGACAAGGGCGGGAGCGCGAGGCGGGAGCGCGACGACUGUGGUCGAGCGCGGCGACGAGCGCCGAUGACAGUGGCGAACGAGCUAGGGGAGGGGAGGCCAGAGCACAGGGGAAAGAGGAGGGCGCAGGGCUCACAGUGAGCCAAAAGGGGAUGGCAGCGGGCUCGUGGUAGUGCUUGAGGCAGCGAGGUCAGGGCGGAGAUGGCGAUGGUGACGCGAAUCCCAACGAGGUCGGGGAGGCGGCAGCAGCGAGCUGCAGGACGGAGCUCCAGGCGGCGGCUUGUUGCUCCUCAGGCAGCGAGGCGACACAGGAGGAUGAACUUGGCGCCGGGGACGACGUGGAUGCAGCCGGAUCCAUCCGGGAACAGGAAGGGGCGGCGGAGGCCGGCCGGACUUGCUCGUUGGUGCGGCGGAGGUCGGGGCUGAAGGACGUGGAGGCGCGAAUCCGGCCAAGUCUUGGGCGGGGAUGGUGGCGCAAGGACGGGGAGGAGUAGCUGUGGGCGGAGGCGGCGGUUCCUUGGGGCGGGCGCACCGACGGGGGUAGGGCUCCUGCGCGGGGAGCGUGGCGGCGCUGGAGAAACGAGAGGGAGUGGGGAGGGGAUCAUGUGGGAGGAGUGGGGGUCGGUUAGGGUUCCAGGGGUGGGGAGGGCCAUAUAGGCCAGGGGCGACUGGGCCGGCCAGCUGGGCCGAAUGGCCCAGUGGAGGGGGGGGGGCCUUUUCAAACUUUGUUUUGUUUUAAUUCUGUUGAGUCGUUUCUUUUUAUUUAUUUUUCCCUUUAUUGUUUUAUUUUUAGUCCCAUCUUAUCUAAGUUUUAAAAUAAUAAACAUAAAAGUUGUACGAAAAUUGGUAUUACUAAUUAUACCGCUGAUACUAGAGUUUAAACCCCUAAAUAAAAUAGUUUAACAUUUUAUAAUAACAAAAGGCAUUUAUUAAAUUGGUUAAGUUGUUGUUUCAUUCCCAUUUGAGCAUUUCAACAUUUUAUGAAAGUGUGGUUUCUCCACCAUAAUUACCUAUGCAUUAUUUAGCUCACUCAGAACAUUUUACUUUUAAUAUUUGAAAACUUUCAUUGUUUGCCUUGAUUUUGAAUUUGAAUUUUGAAUCGGUUUUUGAACUAACUCGAGAUUAACUACAGUGACAGAGGUGACGUGGCAUCAUUAACGGGG